ACAGCAGUAGCCACGGUAAUACGGAGGGAGCUAGCGUUGUUCGGAAUCACUGGGCGUAAAGCGCACGUAGGCGGCUAUUCAAGUCAGGGGUGAAAGCCCGGGGCUCAACCCCGGAACUGCCUUUGAAACUAGAUAGCUUGAAUCUUGGAGAGGCGAGUGGAAUUCCGAGUGUAGAGGUGAAAUUCGUAGAUAUUCGGAAGAACACCAGUGGCGAAGGCGACUCGCUGGACAAGUAUUGACGCUGAGGUGCGAAAGCGUGGGGAGCAAACAGGAUUAGAUACCCCUGUAGUCCCUGUCUCUUAUAC
rnacentral:rRNA from 1 species